GCCAAAGCUUGGAUCCUAUAGAUAGAGAAGCUUUUCUCUGUCAUAGACCUGAUUGAGGAAUAUAAGGUUCCCCUAGCAACUUUUAUGCUUAAUGGUGAAGUCGAACACUAGUGGCAACUUAAUAAGGAAGUCCUACCUACCCUCCUACCUGGGAAUUUUUCAUGGAUGUAUUCUUUGAUAACUUUUUCCCUGCCUAUGUCUGAGAAAAGAAAGAGGAGGAAUUUCACGAUCUUCGUUAAGAAAAUCCAACAGUUGCCCCAGUAUGCAGCCUGUUUUGUUCACUGUCUAGGUUCGCCCCUCUAAUGGUCAGCCCCGAAAGUCGAAAAGAUAGGAAGUUUCUAAAGGGCCUCCGUGUCGACAUCUAUGAUCGAGUCAUGAUGCUGAGACCUAGCUCGUAUACAAAGGUGCUAGAACAUACCAAGUUAGCUGAAGACCUCAUAUUGGCCAAACACCCAUACAUUGCCCGAGUCCUUACCUAACAACAACAACCCAAACAACUUAGAAGGAGAUUGUUUGACCCAGUAAGUAGCCACCUGAUAAACGAACGAGAGUUGCCCUUCCCCCUGCCUUGCCUCCCCCUACAAGUCAGCUUGCCCGAUCUACUCAACUCUGUCAGCAUUGUGGUCGCUCACAUGGUGACCUACCCUGUCGGCGUAUUAAUC
rnacentral:lncRNA from 1 species